GACGAACGCUGGCGGCGUGCUUAACACAUGCAAGUCGAACGAUGAACUGGGGAGCUUGCUCUUCGGGGAUUAGUGGCGAACGGGUGAGUAACACGUGAGCAAUCUGCCCCUGACUCUGGGAUAAGCGCUGGAAACGGCGUCUAAUACCGGAUACGAGGUUCCUCCGCAUGGAGAGGGCCUGGAAAGAAUUUCGGUUGGGGAUGAGCUCGCGGCCUAUCAGCUUGUUGGUGAGGUAAUGGCUCACCAAGGCGACGACGGGUAGCCGGCCUGAGAGGGUGACCGGCCACACUGGGACUGAGACACGGCCCAGACUCCUACGGGAGGCAGCAGUGGGGAAUAUUGCACAAUGGGCGCAAGCCUGAUGCAGCAACGCCGCGUGGGGGAUGACGGCCUUCGGGUUGUAAACCUCUUUUGGCAGGGAAGAAGCCGUGAGGUGACGGUACCUGCAGAAAAAGCACCGGCUAACUACGUGCCAGCCGCCGCAGUAAAAC
rnacentral:rRNA from 1 species